rnacentral:rRNA from 1 species
GUGGGGAAUAUUGGACAAUGGGCGCAAGCCUGAUCCAGCAAUGCCGCGUGCAGGAAGAAGGCCUUCGGGUUGUAAACUGCUUUUGUACGGAACGAAACGGUCCUGGUUAAUACCUGGGGCUAAUGACGGUACCGUAAGAAUAAGCACCGGCUAACUACGUGCCAGCAGCCGCGGUAAUACGUAGGGUGCGAGCGUUAAUCGGAAUUACUGGGCGUAAAGCGUGCGCAGGCGGUUCUGUAAGACAGGCGUGAAAUCCCCGGGCUCAACCUGGGAAUUGCGCUUGUGACUGCAGUGCUGGAGUACGGCAGAGGGGGAUGGAAUUCCGCGUGUAGCAGUGAAAUGCGUAGAUAUGCGGAGGAACACCGAUGGCGAAGGCAGUCCCCUGGGCCUGUACUGACGCUCAUGCACGAAAGCGUGGGGAGCAAACAGGAUUAGAUACCCCGGUAGUCC